UGUCGGCAUGCUUUACACAUGCAAGUCGAACGGUAACAGGCCGCAAGGUGCUGACGAGUGGCGAACGGGUGAGUAAUGCAUCGGAACGUGCCCAGUCGUGGGGGAUAACGCAGCGAAAGCUGUGCUAAUACCGCAUACGAUCUAUGGAUGAAAGCGGGGGACCGUAAGGCCUCGCGCGAUUGGAGCGGCCGAUGUCAGAUUAGGUAGUUGGUGGGGUAAAGGCCCACCAAGCCAACGAUCUGUAGCUGGUCUGAGAGGACGACCAGCCACACUGGAACUGAGACACGGUCCAGACUCCUACGGGAGGCAGCAGUGGGGAAUUUUGGACAAUGGGCGCAAGCCUGAUCCAGCAAUGCCGCGUGCAGGAAGAAGGCCUUCGGGUUGUAAACUGCUUUUGUACGGAACGAAACGGUCUGGGUUAAUACCCUGGGCUAAUGACGGUACCGUAAGAAUAAGCACCGGCUAACUACGUGCCAGCAGCCGCGGUAAUACGUAGGGUGCAAGCGUUAAUCGGAAUUACUGGGCGUAAAGCGUGCGCAGGCGGUUUUGUAAGACAGUCGUGAAAUCCCCGGGCUCAACCUGGGAAUUGCGAUUGUGACUGCAAAGCUGGAGUGCGGCAGAGGGGGAUGGAAUUCCGCGUGUAGCAGUGAAAUGCGUAGAUAUGCGGAGGAACACCGAUGGCGAAGGCAAUCCCCUGGGCCUGCACUGACGCUCAUGCACGAAAGCGUGGGGAGCAAACAGGAUUAGAUACCCUGGUAGUCCACGCCCUAAACGAUGUCAACUGGUUGUUGGGUCUCUUCUGACUCAGUAACGAAGCUAACGCGUGAAGUGACCGCCUGGGA
rnacentral:rRNA from 1 species